GCUCAGGAUGAACGCUGGCGGCGUGCCUAAUACAUGCAAGUCGAGCGAACAGACGAGGAGCUUGCUCCUCUGACGUUAGCGGCGGACGGGUGAGUAACACGUGGAUAACCUACCUAUAAGACUGGGAUAACUUCGGGAAACCGGAGCUAAUACCGGAUAAUAUAUUGAACCGCAUGGUUCAAUAGUGAAAGACGGUUUUGCUGUCACUUAUAGAUGGAUCCGCGCCGCAUUAGCUAGUUGGUAAGGUAACGGCUUACCAAGGCAACGAUGCGUAGCCGACCUGAGAGGGUGAUCGGCCACACUGGAACUGAGACACGGUCCAGACUCCUACGGGAGGCAGCAGUAGGGAAUCUUCCGCAAUGGGCGAAAGCCUGACGGAGCAACGCCGCGUGAGUGAUGAAGGUCUUCGGAUCGUAAAACUCUGUUAUUAGGGAAGAACAAA
rnacentral:rRNA from 1 species